rfam:Gorilla gorilla gorilla genomic chromosome, chr7, whole genome shotgun sequence
ACCUCAGGGUGCGUGCCUGUGGUCCUGGCUACUUGGAGGCUGAGGCAGGAGGAUGGCUUGAGCUCAGGAGCUCUGGGCUGCAGUGCACUGUGCCCAUCAGGUGUCCGUGCUAAAUUCAGCAUCAAGAGGGUGACCUCCCUGGAGCGGGGAACCGCCAGGUUGCCUAAGGAGGGGUGAACCGACCCAGGUCGGAAACAGAGCAGGUCAAAACUCCCGUGCUGAUCCUUUGCACCACCUGCAAAGGAAUAAUUUCUGGGCCAACAAUAAAUACCAGAUACAU